rnacentral:rRNA from 1 species
GACGAACGCUGGCGGCGUGCUUAACACAUGCAAGUCGAACGGAAAGGCCUGCUUUCCCUUGUGGAUUGCGGGUACUCGAGUGGCGAACGGGUGAGUAACACGUGAGUGAUCUGCCCCCAACUUGGGUAUAAGCCUGGGAAACUGGGUCUAAUUCCCGAUAGGACUGCAGGGUGGUGCCUGUGGUGGAAAACGAUUUUCUAGUGGUUGGGGAUGAGCUCGCGGCCUAUCAGCUUGUUGGUGGGGUAAUGGCCUACCAAGGCGGCGACGGGUAGCCGGCCUGGGAGGGUGGACGGCCACAUUGGGACUGAGAUACGGCCCAGACUGCUACGGGAGGCAGCAGGGGGGAAUAUUGCACAAUGGGCGGAAGCCUGAUGCAGCGACGCCGCGUGGGGGAUGACGGCCUUCGGGUUGUAAACUCCUUUCGACCGCGAGGAAGCCACCUGGUUGGAAGGGUGGUGACGGUAGUGGUAGAAGAAGCACCGGCUAACUACGUG